GACAAAUAUUACCUUGUCCUUUCAUGAAUAAUCAAACUGCAAUUUGAAGGACCGAAAUAACAGCAAUCACAGAGUUAAACGUGGCAGAGUGCAGAUUUUUGAGUUGUGGUUCUGGCUCUCAGGGGGCCUAUGCUCUGGGACAAAAAAAAUCCCACCCAUGUGUUCGGCCGGCCUGGUCAAAGCAGAACCUUCUUUUUUUUUUUUUUUCACCCAGGUGUCCAGGAAUAACACUGGGUUGGGUUUUGUGCAUGUUGUUAAUUUUUUUUUUUUUUUUUUUACAAAUUCUACCAAAAGAAUUAUUUAUUUUUUUUUUAACAAAUCAUGCAAUGAAAUGAUGAAAUGUGUGACUCAAAUAGGCACGUCCCCUCAGGCCAACAAACCCAGCCAUCUCUCACAUAUCACGGACAUCAAAAAGCGCCAUUUUCGGGUGAGACCUUUUCCAGGUCGCCCCCCCUUCCCCACCACCCUGCCACGGCCAUUUCUUGGCUCUUCCCCAGACCCUGGUCUUCAUUUCAGAACUGAAAGCAUUGUUUUACUGCUGUCCUCACUUCAAAUGCCUGCUCUCCUCCUCUCUCUUUACUUUUCCCCAAGGCCCCCGAGUUGCUUUCUUUGGAAACAGUGUCUACCCACUCUUUCUUUCCAGAGCCGGGGCCAGCUGGCCCCUGAAAUCAAUCGGUGGCCCAUCAGAGACCACGGGGAGCUGCUGUCACUCCCGCCGUGGAAUUUAGAGGCUGAAAGUCCAAGAUCAAGGUGCCAGCAGACUUGGAUUCCUCUGAGGCUUGCAGAUGGCUGCCACCUCCCCGUGUCUGCACGUGGUCUUCCUCUGUGUGUGCCUGUAUCUUAAUUUCUUCUUCUUACAAGGACACAGGUCAGAUUGGACCAGGGCCCACCCAAAUGACCUCAUACCCUAACUACCUCUUUUAAAGACCCUAUCCCCAAAUACAAUCAUAUUCUGAAGUAAUAGGGCUUCAACAUAAUGAAUCUGAUGACUCCUGCUGAUCUACCUCAUUAUCCAGGAGUUUCUUGUCAUCUCUCUUUGCUGACUCUACUGGCCUCCCUCUUCUGUCACAUGUCCUAGACAUCCAGGCCAGUUUUCCCGAGUGCCCCACCGCCCGGCCCUCGCAUCACCUCCUGCUUCCUCCAGCCGGCCUACUGAGUUCCACCGGUCCUCCUUACCCCUGUGUAGUCCUGCCCACUCUCGUGGAGUCCACUCCCGUCGUUGGAUCCUCCACUCAGGAGCCCAGGGACACAGCCUCCGCCCAAGUUGGAGCUCUGCAGCUUCAUGAGGCCAAACUCCCUACUCACUGACAACACAUGCCAGACAUUUCUCCCAUUGCGGAUCUAGGCACUAAAUGUCUCUGCUCGUCUAUCUCGUCUCCCUUUUCAAGAUGCAAUGGGGGGGGGGGAGGUGUCUAUGGCAUCCCCUUGUCCAUUCUCCCUGUGGCUCUUAAAAUUUUCAGAUCACAGACUGUAUCAGUCCGCAUCCAAUCAAGAGAAAGGGAACCUCUUUCGACACUGAGCCAUCGUGGCAGUAUAUUCUAAGGAAUUGUUUACACGACAGAUGGGACAGCUGAGAAGCUGGGCAGGGCACAGUGAGGGACAUGAACCUGGUAGCUCCUGGGAACAAGGGCAACACCGGAGUGAGGAUGGAGGCGCAAGACGGAAGGAACGGGAUCCCGCCACUCUAUGGAGCUGCCCACGGGCUCUGCGCUGUGUGAGCCCAAGCUAGGAAGUAGAAGACAAUCACGUUCCAUUAUGUUAAAGCCAUUGUUGCUUGGAGUCUCUGUUAGAGCAGCCCAGCUCAGAUCUAGCAAAUGCCUCUUUUUAUAAGGCCUGUUUGGGGGCGAUCUGCAGAGACAGGCCCUCUCCCUUCCCGGAGGAGACAGAGCUGUGGCCUGCGUCUUGCCACCUGGAGGGGCACCCGUGAGACUCCAACAAAUGCUACAGCACGGGGGACCAGCUGUCCCUCUCCGCCCAGGACUAAGGGGUUUCGUGGAGGUAGAAUGGGGAGAGUACCCAGCAAAGCAGCGUGAGCCGGUCCCCUCCCUUCUUGUGUGUGCAGCAAGCAUCUGCUUCUUCAGACAGAAAAGCACCUGCCAGAGGCCCGACCCUAUCCUCUCUUCCCACAUCCGGAGCCAAACCGCAGCCGAGGCUGCCAUGCUCAGGGAGUCUGACUGCCUCCCAGCACCUCUCUGAACAAGACGCGGCAAGUUCUUCCGUGACCCCUGUUUCAUUCCUGAAGAGAAUAAACAUCAUGUCCAGCCUCGACCUGCCAAACGGAAUCACCACAGAGUUCCUCCAGCAACCACGGCCCUUUGCACUCCAGACGUUUUCCAGUCAAUGUAGUUUCUCUGGAUCUGAGGCUCCUAUCAGAUUCCUUGCUUCCAGGAAUCUGCCUGCCCACAAGCACGCGCCUCCGGUCUCCUCCGGAUUGAGGACAGCGGGGCUCUCCCACCACAGGGUCCUCGCGGAGUUGCUGUGCUCAUCUUCUUCGAAGGGGAGCCUCUCGCGGAGGGUACUUUCCUCAGCAGGUCUCUUCUCUCAUCCUGCUUUUGUCUGGGGCACAGCUUGCUGGACUGGGAGGAGCCGUGGAUGGAGUUCAGACCCCGGUGUUUGGAAACAUGCCUCUGCCUCGGUUCCCUCCAUAAUGUCGGGCAAGCCGCUUCACCUUGCAGAGCCUCCGUUUUCCCGUGUGUAGAAUGGAGUGGUAUGGUAGGCUGAAAAUGGCCCCCAGAUCAUGUCGUCAUCCCAAUCCCUGGAACUUUCAGUGGCCUUUUCUCCUCCCACGGCCACUCCUCGCCUGCGUGGACAGGAGAGACUGGAAUUCUCAAAAGCCUGGUGAGAGAGGUCUAGAUGCAACAAGAUUAUGGAAAUUGCAAGGGGCUAUGGACACACCAGACAUUAUUGCUCACCCAACUUACAGAAGAGAAAACUGAGGUAUGGAGGUAUUAAACACUUGCCCAAAGCCACAGAAAACUGGAUAACAUUUUUGACUUCUCUUCGGUCCUCUUUCCAACCUAUGGAGUCUGUCCAAAAGUGCCCUAGUCUAGAAGGGAAAAGAUGGGGCUCCGAGUCUGGUUUCAAUCCUUACCAACUGUGCACUGUUAGGUACAUUAUGUAAAUUCCCUGAGCCUCAGUCCCUUGGUCCACACAAUGGAGACAAGAUAUUCACUUGCCGCCAUUACAGUUCGUGCUGCUGGCCACAGAAAUACCUAGCCAGGCUCUCCUGGGCCUAGACCUCGGACAGACCCUGGCAGGGGGCCCUUGACUCCAGAGCUACACACUUCAGUCACCGGCCGGUACAGGCCUUGAUCUGUCUCACCCCACAGUCCAGGCCCCUCUGGGGAAUAGGCUAGUGUCCUAUUAAUAACGGGGAAGGGACUCAAAACCCUUGAUUCUGCAUCAGUGGUUGCUGCAUCCACCUCCAGAUCAGAAUCAGAAAAAUGAAGGAAAAAUAGCCGCUCACCUAAACGAUCCCAUCCAUGAGUAAGCUCAUAACAUCUCUUUGGAGUCAGGAAAAUAUUUACCUGGCAAUGAUGUUCUAACUUCUUCAGUUGUCCCUCCUUUGUGAUGAAAGCUUGAUCACUAUGGAAAAUAAUCUCUUCUAAACUAUAUAUUUCAUAACAUAACCCAUACCAGAAGUGUGCUCCCAUGUCUCUUUUCUUCUAAAUAUUUUAAAACACAUUUGAAUGAAAAAAAAAAAACCAACUAUAAUGCCUUAAAUAGAAAUCUGCAAUACUGUUUUCAUUGGAUGUAGAACAGGCCAGCCCUGAUGUCAUCAUGGUAAACUCCCCGAGCAGGGUUUCUCAACAGCAGCUCUAUUGACAUUUGGAUCAGAUAAUUCUUUGUUGUGGGGACUGCCCUGUGUUUCGUGGCGCAUUUAACAACAUCCCUGGCUACUGCCCAGUAGAUGCUGAUAGAUCUCUCCUCCAUCAUGACAACACAAAAUGCUAUAGACAUUGACAAAUGUCCCCAGGCAGGGGUGGGGAACAAAAUCAUCCCCAGUGGAGAACCACUG
rnacentral:lncRNA from 1 species